rnacentral:rRNA from 1 species
GACGAACGCUGGCGGCGUGCUUAACACAUGCAAGUCGAACGGUAAGGCCCUUCGGGGUACACGAGUGGCGAACGGGUGAGUAACACGUGGGUGAUCAGCCCUGCACUUCGGGAUAAGCCUGGGAAACUGGGUCUAAUACCGGAUAGGACCACUGCCUGCAUGGGUGGUGGUGGAAAGCUUUUGCGGGGUGGGAUGGGCCCGCGGCCUAUCAGCUUGCUGGUGGGGUGAUGGCCUACCAAGGCGACGACGGGUAGCCGGCCUGAGAGGGUGACCGGCCACGCUGGGACUGAGAUACGGCUCAGACUCCUACGGGAGGCAGCAGUGGGGAAUAUUGCACAAUGGGCGCAAGCCUGAUGCAGCGACGCCGCGUGAGGGAUGACGGCCUUCGGGUUGUAAACCUCUUUCAGCACCGACGAAGCGCAAGUGACGGUAGGUGCAGAAGAAGGACCGGCCAACUACGUGCCAGCAGCCGCGGUAA